AUGAGUUUUGCAGCCGAGGACUUGAUCAAGAAUGCCCGAGUGCAAACCAUCCUCUGGGGUCCUCAGACACUAACUAAAGUAGAUCACAUCGCUCAUCUAUGCCACAAGAACCACAUUCCAUUUCUCACCUUCUCCGGCAUUUCCACAACAAUGUGCGCUUUCUGGCUAGAAAACCAUGAUGUGGCUUUCGGAGACCAUGACAAGAUUGGCUUUACACUUGGAAGUGAUAAUAUAACCUUUCUUAGUCCAAAAACCAAUACAAGAAAUGCCAGAAAACUAUAUACAAGAAAAACAAAGAAGAUAUGCAAAGGUCAGACGAAGCUCAAGAUCGCCGUGCCACAAAAAGAAGGUUUUCAAGUUUUUGUGAAUGUUAUUGGUUCUAUUUCCAAUAAACAAAACAUCACUGGCUACAGCAUUGAUAUCUUCGAGGCUGCUCUGAGACAUUUACAUCCUCUCCCAUGCUAUAAAUUUAUUGUUUUCAAUGGUACCUACGAUGAGCUAGUAGGCAACGUGUCUUCGGGGGUGUAUGAUGGUGCAGUGGGAGAUGUGACGAUAACCGCGGAGCGAGUCACUAGCACGGACUUUACAAUGCCAUACACACAAUCUGGUGUGUCUAUGCUUGUGCUCUCCGAGGAUGAGCCAGAAACAAUCCGUUGGACAUUUGUAAAGCCGCUAAGUGGGAAGCUUUGGUUAGCAACCAUGGUAUUCUUCCUCUAUACCGGCUUUGUUGUGUGGAUGAUUGAAUUGCCCAGGAAUCAAGAGUACCAAGGGUCAAGUUUGAGACAGUGUAGCACUGCCCUCUACUUCGUUUUCUCCACUUUGACGUUUUCUCAUGGUCAAAGUAUUAGAAGCCCCUUGUCAAAAGUUGUUGUGGUGAUAUGGUGCUUUGUAGUGUUGAUUCUAGUACAGAGCUACACAGCAAGUUUGUCAUCUAUUCUUACUGCAAAGAGGCUCCGUCCUUGGGUAACAGAUCUGGAGCAACUCCGGCGUAAUGGUGAUUUUGUAGGAUACCAAGAUGGCUCAUUUGUGCGAUCCUUCUUGAUGAAGCAUAAUAUCAGUGAAAGUAAGCUAAGGAACUACAAGAAAAAAGAAGACUAUGUUGUUGCUUUGAGAAAGGGGUCCAUGAAUGGAGGUGUGUCAGCUAUCGUUGAUGAGAUCCCCUAUUUAACCUCUUUCCUCUCUGAUCGUCAGUACAAAAAUGACUUUAAGAUGCUCGGGUGCAUAUACAAGACUCCUGGAUUUGGUUUUGCAUUCCGUCUAGGUUCUCCACUAGUGCGUAACAUUUCAACUGCCAUCUUGAACCUUGAGGGAGGGGAUGAGGGCUCACAAAUUGAAGAGAAAUGGUUUGGCACAACUUCACCAUCUAUGGGUGUUGGUGCAGUCCUCGAUGCUGAUUCUGCACCUCUCACACUACAAAACUUUUCUGGUCUCUUUGUCAUCACAGGAUCCAUUUCAACUCUCAUGUUGCUAAUAAGCAUUGUGAGAUUGGUUUAUGCCAGAUGCAUCAAGUUGGGAAAGGCGAACAUGGAAAUCAUUAGCUAUGAUUUUGUGGAUGAGGGUGCGUUACAAAAUGGCAUGGAAAAUAACCCCAACCCUAGUCAACAACACAUCCGUGAAGCUAUCACUGAUGAUUCCCCGGGCAUCCACGGAAGUGGAGAAAAUGAUGGGGAUGUAGAGGCUGACCCAGUGCACUAG
rnacentral:rRNA from 1 species